UACGUAGGGGGCUAGCGUUGUCCGGAUUUAUUGGGCGUAAAGAGCGUGUAGGCGGCCAGGUAGGUCUGCUGUGAAAACUCGAGGCUCAACCUCGAGACGUCGGCGGAAACCAUCUGGCUAGAGUCCGGAAGAGGAGAGUGGAAUUCCUGGUGUAGCGGUGAAAUGCGUAGAUAUCAAGAGGAACACCUGCGGCGAAGGCGGGUUGCUGGGCCGACACUGACGCUGAAGUGCGAAAGCUAGGGGAGCGAACGGG
rnacentral:rRNA from 1 species